AUCGAACGCUGGCGGCAGGCCUAACACAUGCAAGUCGAGCGAGCGGCGGCCGGGUGAGUAAUGUCUGGGAAACUGCCUGAUGGAGGGGGAUAACUACUGGAAACGGUAGCUAAUACCGCAUACCAUCGGAUGUCUCCACAUGGGGUUAGCUAGUAGGUGGGGUGAAGGCUAACCUAGGCGACGAUCCCUAGCUGGUCUGCGAGGAUGACCGGCCACACUGGAACAGAGAGACGGUCCGGACUCAUAAGGGAGGCGGCAGUAGGGAAUAUUGCACAAUGGGCGCAAGCCUGAUGCAGUCAUGACGCGUGUAGGAAGAAGGCCUUAGGAUUAUAAAGUUCUUUCAGCGGGGAGGAGUUAACCGCAAAAGGAGCACCGCCUAACUCCGUGCCAGCAGCCGCGGUAAUUC
rnacentral:rRNA from 1 species